UCAAGGACCAUCUGCGGGAAUUCCCCAAUUUCUGGAUAUUUACGACAUCACGAGUAUCCAAAGUAAAGCAAUCGUUUCAGAGAAGAAAAGACCGUCUUACCCCGGAGAUUACAGUAAAUUAAGGUUGUGUAGAAGAUGCUGUAGGACAAACAGACCAGCAUGAUGUCAAGCAACGGUGUGCAGGAGACGGGGAUGAGAAGGAGCAGCACGGGGCUCAGUAACGGCCUCUCCCCUGACUUCGAAAUCCUCUCCCAUCCCCCUUCCUCUACGGGGUCCCAGCCUCCAGUCAGCCUCAGUCAGAUUAACCCCCUGGGGAUGUCACAGACUCCCAGCUCUCUGACUGACGUCACCCUAGAGCAAGCACUGAUGAGAGUGCAUGAUCUGUCUCGGGAAAAUAGCGACUUAAGAGAUUAUUUGAAAGACAACAAUGAGAUGAUGAAGAAGCAGUAUGAAGCGUUGGCAGAGUGGAAGAAGAAAGUCCACGACGCCAACGUAGCCAACCGUGACAAGUUUGACCAGACGAAGGCGCUGAUCCUGGGACUGAUCCUGGGACUACGGAAAGACAAUGAAGAGUUGUUGGAGAAGGUCCGCGAGCUGGAGACGAGCAAGGAGGAGAAGAUGACUGAGUUGCUGGGUAAGAUCCACGCCCUGGAGUCUGCACGGCUGAAGAGUGAACAGCUGGCAACUCAAGUCUGUAGCAAGGCAGAGGAACAAGGCAUGUCCAUGGACGACCUUGACCUUACUCUUAAUGAAACGGUUGUCGUCAGUGUCAGUGCUGAGACGGAGGAAAGAAUCAGUCAGCUGGAGAAUGAGCUAGAGGAGAAGAAUGGAGAAAUGAAAAGAUUGACAGAAGAAAAAAAUAAACUGAGUUCCCAGGUGGGUCAGUUCCGCGAUAGCGCUGACCAGCUUCUGAAGGAUCUGGAGUGCCAGCAGAAGCUGAAGGAGGAUCUCCAGAGGGAAAACCAGGAACUCCUCGAGAAGAACCUUGACCUCAACCUUCAGUUGCAAAGUCUCCUGUCAGACACUCGCAUUUCUUUACAGUUGGUUGAGAAAGCAGGGUUUAGUUCAAAAUCACAAAGUGGUAUGUCUGAUGUAGUUGGUAUGUCAGUGACAGAGACACAGGAGGUAGCACGCUUGUUGGAACAGCUUCAGAAGAAUGAGCAAAAGUUUAAAACUGAAAUGGCAACAAUGAGGUCACAUGUACAAGGAGAGAAAAAUAAGAGUCAGCAACUCCAAGCCCGACUAACCGAGAAUAGUCAGAGGAUAUCGGCCAUGAUACAACAACAUGAACAGGAAGUGGCUGUGUUGAGGAAGGAGCAUGAGCAGAAGCUGAUGGAGUUGGCACGGCAACAGGACACAGAGAGGGAGCAGCAGCUGCAGUCUGCCACAUACGACACGGAUGUCCAGUCUCUGCGAUCUCAGGUGCUGACGCUCAUCAGUGAGGUCCACGAGACGCAGACCAAGUUGUCCGCCGCCACAGAUGCACAUGAGAAUAAGGACAGAAGAAUGAAGGACCUGGAGGAGAGGAACAAGCGGUACCAGAUGGACCUGAACCAGAACCGGCACGAGAUGCAGGCCCUGAUCCAUUCACUCCAACAGCGCUGUGGUCUGUCCGAGCACGCCCACGCACAGGAGCGGCAGAGCCAUGAAGUCACAAAACACAAUAUGAGUGAACUGCGGACAUCGUUUGAGCAGCUGGUCAAUGACUACAAGGAACUCCUGGACACGUUUGACCAGUACAAGCUGCAGCAGGAGCGGCAGACACCGGGCUCCAUUCCCCAAAACCAGCGUGCCAUGUUGGAGCAGAUCAACCACCUAACAGCUCAGGUGAUGGCGGCAGAGGAGGCCAUCACUAUCCGUGAUGAGCAGAUCCAGUCGCUGAAGACCGACCUCGCAAGCAAGAAGCGAGAGUACGAGGAUAUGGCCGCUGUGUUCAAAGCUCAGGCAGAUGUUUACAAGGCUGACUUUGAUGCUGAACGGUCAGCUCGGGAACAGCAGGUGUCGGACAAGGAGCGGAUCCUGACGGAGAUGGGUGACCUCCAGGUGCAGAACCAACAGCUCAUCGAUGACCUCGAGGCGUACUCCCGCCGUCAGAUGAGUGAGAUGCAGCGUCGGGUAGCACCGUCACCCCAUUCAUACCUCCAGUGUGUCAGCCCAGGGGGUCCCUAUGGCCCCCUGCAGCCCACCUUUAACUACCAGGGAGGGAUGCCAGACAACCAGCCAUUACCUGACCUCAGCUACCCUGACACUGUCAACCUGAACCAGCAGCCGAACCAGGGCCCUCCUCAGAUGGACCCAGGUCAAAUCGAGGAGGAGGAAGCCCCCCUUGUGUGCCCCCAGUGCAAUCUAACAUGCCCCGACAUGGACACCCUACAGAUCCACGUGAUAGAAUGUCUGGACCAAGAUGACCAACGGAGAGCCAAUCGUCAGUAGCUUCUCUCAAGCUCCGAGCUGCCUGUGAUUUUAGUUGUAUAUGUGUUGACAGUUUGAAUGGAUGAGGGUGAUUUUACCCCGGCAAUGUUUGAUGAUGAUAGAGGUCUUUGGCUGCCGUGACUGAUGAGGUUUGUAGUACUUUGUUAUACCAUAGUGCAGGUAAUAAAUAUGCAUCCCAGGUAAUAAAUAUUCAAAUCAUAACUGACCAGUAGGAAUCAAGUUAUCACUAGGGAAUGGUCAUUUAUUUGGUCAGCUAAUGGAAUUGGUCUUAUGACUGUCCCUUCUCUCCCCACCAUUUUGUGGGCCUCCCAAAUUGAUAUAAUCUGUUAUAUUUAAAUCCUUUUUGGAAGAUUUGUGUGCAAUUCAAAUUGGAUAGGGUAAUUUUGAAUUAAUUUCCAUAUUUUAUGCAAAUACCCAGCUUAUCUUGAGCUGUGAGGACAUCAUCACUUUUUUAUCAAGUCCCAAUCUGUCAUUUUCUCACCAUACCAGGGAGAAAUAUGGUAUAUGCAACAUAGUCAAACAGGCUUGUCAGAUUUUAAGAGCUAAAUGUUUUGGUAAAUACUUGACAAUUGAUACUUGAGCAUUGAAUUGAAAACUGAUAAUGUGCUAUGUUUUUCAUAAUCUUUUCAUCUUAAAUAGGUUGACAUCAUCUCUGACCUAUAAUUUCUUUAACCUUUCAAGAGAUUAAAGCUUGGCAAGUCUUGUUACAAUUUAUAAUAUCAGGGUACCACUUCUUGGUUUCUUUCAAAGAUUUCACUGCUUAUCAUGAUAUGGCACCAUGAGGAGAAUUAGGUGAUAUAAGUUGUAAAUAGUUAUUGUAUGUGUAGUCUUCAUGAAACUAGUAUAGGUCGGUACAGUUAAUACAGAAAUUAAUAGGUGAUCCAAAGAUUCAAUAUUCAGAUGGUGUGGAUUAUAUUUCAAUAAUUGUACAAAUUACUUAUUACACAUUCUCCACUGAGGUAGACUUCCACAGUCUGUGAGUUGUCUUUGUAACACUUGAGUGGAGUAGUCUAGUGGUCAAUGCGUUCUCUCUUCCUGACCUAAGGCUGGGUUCAAGUCCACACAGUUUUAUUAUACUUCUGUGAGCUUAUUGAUAUAUCCAGCACGAAUUCAUUAAUUCAUUGGGUGUCCAAUUGGAUUUGGUGGUCAGCAAAGUGUGCUUAUCAUAAGAGAAGACAAACUGGUUUGAGUAGUCUGACUCCGUCAUGUCUUACAGAUUGGGUCUUUGUUGCGUAUACCACUUGCUGGAUGAUCAUGUCAAGACGUGAUGAUGUACAGACUGAUGAUAUGUAGAGAGAACAUUGCUGAGUUUGGUGUUGACUAAC
rnacentral:misc_RNA from 1 species